rnacentral:rRNA from 1 species
UCCGUAGGUGAACCUGCGGAAGGAUCAUUAACAAAGUUCGCUUCUCUGAAGCAACUGAUCUCUAACACCUGUGCAUCUUGUCGCUCCGGCGAUAUAUCAAACAUCAGUGUAAAGAAUGUAAUUUAUUAUAACAAAUACAACUUUCAACAACGGAUCUCUUGGCUCUCGCAUCGAUGAAGAACGCAGCGAAAUGCGAUAAGUAAUGUGAAUUGCAGAAUUCAGUGAAUCAUCGAAUCUUUGAACGCACAUUGCGCCUUUUGGUAUUCCGAAAGGCAUGCCUGUUUGAGUGUCAUAUUAUCUCUCAGAUGUAGUUUUCUAUAUAUGAGCUUUGGACGUUGCCAGCAAUGGCUCGUCUUAAAUGACUAAGUGGAAUGCGUAAUAAGUUUUCGCUCCCUUCACUCUAAUAACUCUUAUGUUAGACCUCAAAUCAGGUAGGACUACCCGCUGAACUUAAGCAUAUCAAUAAGCGGAGGA